UUAAUUUUUAAAAAGAUUUUGUUUAUUUAUUCAUGAGAGACACAGAGAGAGAGAGGCAGAGACAUAGACAGAGGGAGAAGCAAGCUCCUCGCAAGGAGCCCGAUGUGGGGCUGGAUCCCAGGUCUCCAGGAUCACGCCUUGAGCUGAAGGCAGUUGCUCAACUGCUGAGUGACUCAGGCAUCCCCUGAUUUACAAAGCUUUAAGCAAAGGGUUCUAGGAAAUGUGAAGGAUAAACAAGUUCUGGCUGUAGCAACUGUCAUCACAAAAGUGUAAGCAAACUUCAACCUUUUCAUGUGUUCAACACAAUUAGUCAUUAGGGAAAUGCAAACCAAAACCACAGUGAGAUACUCCCGCAUACCCACUAGGUGCAAAAAAGACAAGUAUUAACAAGUGUCUGUGAAGAUGUGGAAAAAUUGAAACCCUCCUAUUCUUUGAGGUGAUAAAAAUGUUCCAGAGUGAGAUAGUGGUGAUGGUUACCCAGUCAUGUGACUGUACAAAAAAACAACCAAAGCAUACAAUUUACAAAAUACAUAUCUACCACGUAUUAGUCAGAAUUGGUUAACUACUAUAACAAAUAAACCAAAUCUCAAAGGCUCAAAAAAGCCCAAAACUUCAGUAGGAGGUGGGGGAGGCAGAGUUCAAUUUUGACAAGGGGGUUUUGGAAAGCUUCUCAGAACAAAAGACAUUUAAGUCAGACCAUAAAGAACAAGAGAUUACAAUAGCCAUUUACAAAGCAUCCAUGUCUGCCCUUUAAAUGUGCCAAAUGGCAGGCCUUUAAUUCUCUGUAUAUGUAGUAUGGUCCCUUUGAGGCAAACGAAGACCCUGAGGCUCAGAGAGGUCAAGAUCAGCUUGUGGGUGGCCACAGAGCUAAUGAAUGGCAGAGAAAGAGUUGAAUCGGCUGACAGGCGAGUUCUUGGACUAUGAAGAGGUUUGAGUAGUCUACACAGAGGGAACAAUAUGUGUAAGGGCGUAAGGGUAGAAAUAAUGGAAUAUGGAUGGGAACCAGCAAAUUAGCCAACUAGCUCCAGUUAGCACCUGGAACUGGGACUUAAUCUUCAAAGGUAGGCAGGGCCCAAAUUAUGGAAGGUUUUGUGUGCGUGAUGGAGAAAUUCAGAGAGCAAAAUCUCCUGUUCCCACAGAGUUUAUAAUCUAAUGGAGAGACAAGACCAACACGUGAAAUAACAAUUACCAUUCACACAUUACAGGCUGGAAGCAGGACUAUAUUCUAAACUGAUACCAGUUAACAGAUGACUUGAGUAUCUAGGGAUUCAUCUGUUACACCCACAGUGGCAGAGCUCUUGUGUGACCUGGAAAAAGGGGCGUGCCAUGCUGGAAAGCUAACUUCCAAUAUCUGGGCAAGGCUGUGAAAGGUGGAGAGGUUGGAGCGAGCCUCGGGGUGUAGCUGACCCCUCCCGGAUGUCCCACCCUCCUUCAUUCUUCUCUUUUGCCUGGGGCUGAGUCUCACUCCUUUGUGAUAGGUUCUUAACACUCCCUGCUUCAAGUGACUGUUACACGUUUUCAUCUUCUGUCUACCCAGAUUUGGAAAGUGAGAUAAAAGAAAUAACCGACCCUAGGGAGAAACCCAAGAAAGAAAGAAAUAGAUGUAAGUCAGAGUCAUAAUUUUCAGAUCUAGAAAAGCAAGUUACUCAGAGUAAUUCACACAUCAUUGAGAGACCAAUUAGAACCAUUAGCAAGUUGUUAGCACUGACUUUAAACUACCUACUCUGAUGUAGCCCCAACCAUUCUGAAGGGGCUGUGUGGUGUCACUAGAAUCAACUAGUAUAAACAUACCUGUACAUAAACAACCCUCAAUCCACAACCGUUUGUUGGGUGCUUUACCUCUCUGUGCACUGUGGUCCCUCCCCAAAGGAAGAUUUCAAUGCACACACUCACACAACUAUCUAGUCUCAAACAACUAGCUACUGGUCUUGAUGGUGGAGCUAACAUAAAAGAUGUGGAAGGUCCCCAGCAGCAUAAGAUUGUGAAAUUUCAGCAAGGUGGGAAGACUAUGGUUAUACAAAAGUUCAGAGAUCCAAGGCUAGGGUUGCUCAGUUAUGCCUCCCUUUAGGCCUUAGACUGGGAGCCUCCCCUUGAAGGAUGAGUAAAAGUGAAGCAAAAAAGUGGAGGAGUUUGAAGAGAAAAUAUAUUUCCAACAGAAUGUGGGCUCUGGCAUCUGACUAGUGAGAACCAAUCUUGGCUUUUACCACUUGGCCUUGCAAUCAUUACUUUAUCCCUACUUUCCUACCCACAUCUGCGUGGGAAUGAUGAGAACAGUAGGAUCUGAUUGCAUUGUUGGGGAAGAUGAAGUGAGUUAGUUCACAAACAUUAUGAUUUACAUGAUGCCUGGUAUAUACAGCAGACAAUCAGUGUUAGCUGUUACUGCAUGGAGCAAAUACAAAGAAAGCACAUUUCAGAGCAGUACUUACUUUAGGAUCACUUGUUUCUGAAUAAUCCUGCCAAAGCUACUUUUAACUUGAUUAUUCAGAAAAAUUAACAUUAGAACCUUUUAAAAACAAAUCAUAUAAAAUGAAUUCAUGCUGAUCAAUAUGAGAUAUUAUAGGAGGUGUUGUAUAUAGUAUUUACUACUUUUUUUUCCCCAAUCAACCUUCAUUUUCCUUGGUUUCCCUUUUAUAGUCAAUAGGAAAAGGAAUCUAUAUGUCUGAGCUUGGGCUGCUAUAACAAAAUGCCACGACUGGGUGACUUAAAUUCCAGAUGGUUAUUUCUCACAGUCCUGGAGGUUAAAGACUGAGAACAGGGUGCCAGCAUGGUCAGGUUCUUGGGGAUGACCCCUUUCCCAGCUUCCAUUUCCAGAUGGCUUUGUUGUGGGUGGGGUGGGGUCAGAGAGAGUUCUAUAUUCUCUUCAUAUAAAGGUGCUAAUCUCAUCAUGAGGACCUCACCCUCAUGACCUCACCUCCCAAAGUUCUAAUAGCAUGACACAGGUUAGGGCUUCAACACAGGAACUAGGUAGGGGGCGGUGGGGUUGGGGAUACAAACAUUCAAUCUAUUUAAAAGAAAAAUAAGAAACAAAAAAUUCCAACUUAUUUGUUGUGAAUGGUCUUAUAGUGCCAAGUAUGUAUAAGUUAAAGCUUCAGGAAUAAAAGAAAGUUAAUUAUAAUAGUAGGGACUUUGAUGUUUAAAAAUGCAAAUUUUCUGAGCAAUAAGGAUAUCAUUUUUCUUUGAAAGUUACAGUCUACCAGAUUUGGGGUUAAACUACACAUCUGAAAUAACAGCUCAUAUUUCUUGAGUUCUUACCAUGUGUCAUUAUGCAAAGUGUUUUACACGCACUGGCACCUCGUUUUAUUUUCUUCUUACUUUCACAACAAGCCUAUGAGGUAGGAGCCAGUAUCAUCAAUCCCAUUUUACAGCUGAGGAAGGGAAGGCUAACAGGAAUGAAGUGGGUUGCCUAGGGUGAUAGAGAUGGUGGCUGCCAGUGCCUGAUUCAAAUCCUAAUUUGCCUAGUCUCCCUUCUUAACCAUUCCUCUUCAGACUACAGAGAAUCCUGGUUCCCAGGAGACAAAUGAACUAGAAUAUGGAUCAUUUAAAUGAACAGAACACAAGUAGAUUUUCAAAAACAACCUGAUAUCAGUCUUUUACAUUGAUAAAGAGAAAGCACUGGAAAAUCCUUUUUUUUUUCCCCCUCCCCAAAAAGGUUGACUUCCCCAGCCACUAUGGGUGGUUAUGAACUCAUUUCAUCACACUAAAUUACGAAUUUGCUUUUCAAUUAAAGUGUCUCAUCACUGUCACGGCUCUGACGUGUCCUUUCCCAAUGUCCAACUUCAUCUUGGUGUAAAGAGACACGAUUCGGUUGGUUCGUGUGUAAUCCACAAAGACCCAGGGGGGUAUCUUUUGCCCCUAUUGUUUUCUUGGGUGUCCUCACUCGGAGGCCAGGCAUUCCUCACGUGUCUGGGGCAAUGCAGCAGGAGCAGCAGGAGCAGCAGCAGCAGCAGCAGCAGCGAGGAGCCCAGAAGCU
rnacentral:lncRNA from 1 species